CAAGCGGUGGAGCAUGUGGUUUAAUUCGAAGCUACGCGAAGAACCUUACCAGGUCUUGACAUACUAUGCAAAUCUAAGAGAUUAGACGUUCCCUUCGGGGACAUGGAUACAGGUGGUGCAUGGUUGUCGUCAGCUCGUGUCGUGAGAUGUUGGGUUAAGUCCCGCAACGAGCGCAACCCUUAUUAUCAGUUGCCAGCAUUAAGUUGGGCACUCUGGUGAGACUGCCGGUGACAAACCGGAGGAAGGUGGGGAUGACGUCAAAUCAUCAUGCCCCUUAUGACCUGGGCUACACACGUGCUACAAUGGAUGGUACAACGAGUUGCGAACUCGCGAGAGUAAGCUAAUCUCUUAAAGCCAUUCUCAGUUCGGAUUGUAGGCUGCAACUCGCCUACAUGAAGUCGGAAUCGCUAGUAAUCGCGGAUCAGCAUGCCGCGGUGAAUACGUUCCCGGGCCUUGUACACACCGCCCGUCACACCAUGAGAGUUUGUAACACCCAAAGUCGGUGGGGUAACCUUUUAGGAACCAGCCGCCUAAGGUGGGACAGAUGAUUAGGGUGAAGUCGUAACAAGGUAACCAAGGGCGAA
rnacentral:rRNA from 1 species